rnacentral:lncRNA from 1 species
CUUUGCAAUAAUGAACAUCUCUCUUCUGUUUGAAUCUUAGUCUGCAGUUGAUGCCUGCAGAAUCUAUCAUGAUUAAAUUAAGUGUUUUAUGACCUUAUCAUAUCUUUCCCACCCUCGAAGGACAGGAUUUUCAUGUGGUAAUGACAAUGGACUAACUUGUGAGUCGAUGAAAGCCCAAUUAAUGCAGUGGUGGUAGGUUUAGGAAUGACUUAGGUUGUCAUAUAUCGGACUGAAGCAACAGAGUGGUCUUGCUGAGUGUUAGGUAGUUAUAGAAUUUCAGGAUAAGUUGAAAUCAAAUGUAAGUUUUUGAGAAGAAAGAUGUUAAAAGGUGAUUAAUGUAUCGCGCUUGGAGGUGGAGAGGAAAUUACAGGUCACUUUAUGGAAAGUCAAAGCUUGUUCACUUCUAGUAGUGUACCUCUUCUGGAUGAAGCAUAUGCUUAUGGAGUUGUUGAACAUCCUUUUCCGUUAAUUUACUUUCUCAGGUAUUGGCAGCUUGGCUCUGACUUUUAUCAGUUCGUAAAAAUUGGCAUUGUUCAAUAUGUACGAACACUAUCUUUGAGACUUUUUUAUUUUAUUAUUGUUAUAUAUUGGCAUUAAGUGAAAGUUCUCAUUUUCGCAGAUAAUAUUAAAGAUGAUAUGUGCUUUACUUGCGAUGAUUUUUGAAUCUCUUGGAGUUUAUGAGGAAGAAAAGUUUGAGUGGGGACCCUUUUCCAUCUAGUCAUAUUCUAAAGCUUUACAGUUCCUACUGUGUAACUGUGAACUCUUGAAUUAUAUUUUAAGGUUACUGUUCAAUGCAAUUUAGGGAUGUUAUUUAGUUACAUCUAGCGAAGAGAAUAAACAUUUUUCCAUUUUCAUCUGAAAGUUUUUCGAUGUUUUGCAGUUAUCCAUAUUUGGCAGUUUUUGAGUUUUAGCGGACCUCGGCCUUACCUUGUCCAGUCUUAUUCUGUCACCAAGAUUAAUUGGCACGAUUUAAACCUUGGGCCAAGUUUUUGACAUUCAAGUCGAUUGUUUUCCAGACAUGGUGGCAAGGUGCUGCUGUUGCCUUUCUUCUCAUUUGGAGCCCUUAAGGGGAUCAUUGGUGCAGGUUCUGAAAAUACGACAUGGUGGCAAGGUGUUGCUGUUGCCUUUCUUCUCAUUUGGAGCCCUUUAGGGAUCAUUGGUGCAGGGUCUGAAAAUACGUAUACAAGACUAUAGCAUCUGUAUCGAGGUGCGUUGGUUUGUGUUGAUCUUUCAAUCUUUUGCACUAGGUAAUUUAGUAUUCUUAUGCAUGAAGAUGAUUAAUUCGGUCUUUGUGGCCAGACUUUAUUAUGGAUUAGUACAUUGUUAUACCAGUUUUAGUUUGUCUGUUUAUUUUUCGCGUAAAAGGUUUUAGACAUACUGUCAUCUCGUUA